GACGAACGCUGGCGGCGUGCUUAACACAUGCAAGUCGAACGCUGAAGCUUGGUGCUUGCACUGGGUGGAUGAGUGGCGAACGGGUGAGUAAUACGUGAGUAACCUGCCCUUGACUCUGGGAUAAGCCUGGGAAACUGGGUCUAAUACUGGAUACGACAUGUCACCGCAUGGUGGUGUGUGGAAAGGGUUUUACUGGUUUUGGAUGGGCUCACGGCCUAUCAGCUUGUUGGUGGGGUAAUGGCUCACCAAGGCGACGACGGGUAGCCGGCCUGAGAGGGUGACCGGCCACACUGGGACUGAGACACGGCCCAGACUCCUACGGGAGGCAGCAGUGGGGAAUAUUGCACAAUGGGCGAAAGCCUGAUGCAGCGACGCCGCGUGAGGGAUGACGGCCUUCGGGUUGUAAACCUCUUUCAGCACGGAAGAAGCGAAAGUGACGGUACGUGCAGAAGAAGCGCCGGCUAACUACGU
rnacentral:rRNA from 1 species